GUGGAGAAGGGUUCCGUGUGAACAGCAGUUGAACAUGGGUCAGUCGGUCCUAAGCGAUUGGAGAAAUCCGUUCAGAAGGGGGACGUUGAACUUUGCCUAACUUAAGCGUGUUUGUCCUCCUGUCGACCGAAAGGGAGUGGAGUUAAUAUUCCUCAACCUGGACACGGAGAUUGGACCUUCGGCUCCAAAUGCGCUAACGCAACCGAACUCGGAGACGUCGACGGGAGACUCGAAAGAGUUAUCUUUUCUUUUUAAGAACUCUUGUCCCUGGAAUCGGAUCAUCCGGAGAUAGGGAUGGUGAGUUCGUAAAAGCACCGCGGCUGUUGUGGGGUCCGGUACGCUCCUGUCGAUCCUUGCAAAUCCGACGGAGGGAUUAUGAUUUUCGUGCCAGACCGUACCCAUAUCCGCAGCAAGUCUCCAAGGUGAACAGCCUGU
rnacentral:ncRNA from 1 species